rnacentral:tRNA from 1 species
GGGGCUGUAGCUCAGUUGGGAGAGCACCUGCCUUGCACGCAGGGGGUCGCCCGUUCGAUCCGGGUCAGCUCCACCA